rnacentral:tRNA from 1 species
AGAGGGAACAGGACCAAGCUUCAAAACCGGUGAGGGGCUGCGAGAGCAGUCCUUGGUGAGUUCGAUUCUCAUGCUCUA